CUGGAAGAGGAGAGAGGAGCUACCUUACAUCUUACUGUCGUCGUCGCCCUCAUCCCGAAUCGCCAUCAUCGCCGGUGCAAGGAGAGGAGCCGUCGUGCCGCCGCCGCUGUUGGGUCGCUGUGCUAUCGUCAGAGAGCAGAGUGCGUACGCGAGGAAGGAGAAGCCCUGCCUUCGUGUCCGCCGCUGCCGCCUCUGAGUCCGUCACCGUCAAGCAGAGCCACAGGCAGAGGGGAGAGAUCCGCGAGGAGGGAGGACCGCGAACCGUCCAGCCGCCGCGCACAGUCACCGCUGAUGUCGCCGGCGCCAUCCUCGUCAGAUCCGCCACCUCCGAAGCUUCUGGCCGCGCCUUUGCUCCCGGAGAACGCCGCUGCCGCCCAAAAACUGCCACUGAAGCCUAGGUCUGCUUGUCACCGCGAGUUUCUCUGUGGUGCGCCGCCGUCGGACGCCGCCGUGACCACCACUGAACUCUACGCUGGCGUUAGUCACUGAUAGAGGUUGAAUAUUGAUGCUAGUGUUGUCGCGGGACUGUUGAAGCUGUUACUAGUUCUGAUUUUGUUAUCCUGGGUUGUAAUUGCUAUUAAUUCCUAUCCAAUCUGAAUCUUUUAUUUUGCUGCAACCAUGGCCACUGCGGUGAAGAUUAACAUUACCGCUAUCGCUGUUUUGGUUGCUGCCAUUGCCGUUCUAAUUGCGUGAGAGUCGCAUCUGCUGCCAUGAACUAAAAAGAGAGAGAAUUAUCACGAUAAAUUUGUGCAAACUCGGUUAAUCGAGACCGUGUGGUUAGGUUCUCACCCCCUA